rnacentral:rRNA from 1 species
GCGGUAAUACGAAGGGGGCUAGCGUUGUUCGGAUUUACUGGGCGUAAAGCGCAUGUAGGCGGAUAUUUAAGUCAGAGGUGAAAUCCCAGGGCUCAACCCUGGAACUGCCUUUGAUACUGGGUAUCUUGAGUAUGGAAGAGGUGAGUGGAAUUCCGAGUGUAGAGGUAAAAUUCGUAGAUAUUCGGAGGAACACCAGUGGCGAAGGCGGCUCACUGGUCCAUUACUGACGCUGAGGUGCGAAAGCGUGGGGAGCAAACAGGAUU